CAAGACCGCGACGCUCAUUCUUGCACUCACCACUGACAGCGAGAGCCACGUCGCUUCGGUCCACCUGCUGCGCCGGCCGUACAACAGCGUUUAAAAGUGACAAGCGUCUAGUUGCACUUUGGGAGUGUUCCCAUCUUGCAAAAGUUUGCAGAAGCUAGCGUUAGCAGUUAGCGUCUUCAACGACCACCAAAACGCAUUUAUCUGGCGUGCAACCAAACAAUUGAAGCAGUUAACGGUGGCAACGUCUGGACGCCAGCGCCGUUUGGCCGAAGGUGCAAACCCUCAAAACGAGCCCGUCAUGGCCGACUGAUUUUCUGGUCCAAAAUGGCCGUGUUGCAGUUCCCGCAUGGCUUCAUGAGACACUUGCAGACCAUCGAGCUGUGGUAGGAGAGACGUCCCGCACUGCCCUCCCUUCGUCACUGGUAGAGCCAAAGGACCUACUUUCUGCAGCGUGGAUCUGCAAGGUUUUGAACCUGUGGAAUCAUCAACAUGCUGACAGGUGACCACUUAUUACAAACUUGGUAUUGUUUAAAAGCACAUGCCUGUUGCCUCCCUCUUCCUGCAGUGCACAUUCCAGUAAGGAUGCAGUUGGAAAGUCCGCCACCUGCUGACCAAAGGUGUCCAUCCUGGAGAAAUUUUACAACAUUUCAAGAACUCUGCCUGUGCACCAGCGACCAGCUGCUUCCAGUCUACAGGCAAAAGUUGCAAAUCCUGGUCCAGAAAGUGAAACUCUUUGCCACAGUUUGUCUUCAGCCUCUGAGCUCUUUCACCUAGGUCUAUUCUGCCUGAAGAGCCCUCUGCUGUGUGGCGCACCAUUAAGUACCUGCUUGUAGCGGCAGCCGAGGACUAGAGCAAAGCUGCACACCAGCAACACUUUAGUCUUCUUGUUGCAACCUGAGAAGAAGGAACUAAAUCAGCUUCCUGGUCAAUACAUUAAUACCUGAUGCCAUGAAAACCUCUAUUUGCGCACUGGUCCAUGCAUGGAGUGACAUGUGUCCCACCGGCCGACCACUCGUCCCACCGGCCGACCACUCGUCCCACCGGCCGACCACUCGUCCCACCGGCCGACCACUCGUCCCACCGGCCGACCACUCGUCCCACCGGCCGACCACUCGUCCCACCGGCCGACCACUCGUCCCACCGGCCGACCACUCGUCCCACCGGCCGACCACUCGUCCCACCGGCCGACCACUCGUCCCACCGGCCGACCACUCGUCCCACCGGCCGACCACUCGUCCCACCGGCCGACCGCCAUUCCACUUGUUACUUUGUUGACUCUGCAAAAGAAAUAAAGCUUUAUUACAAAUAA